rnacentral:tRNA from 1 species
GGAGAGAUGUCCGAGUGGCCGAUGGUGACGGUCUCGAAAACCGUUGUACGGGCAAACCCCGUACCGAGGGUUCAAAUCCCUCUCUCUCCG